rnacentral:sRNA from 1 species
GCCAGACACAGUGGCAUAUGUCUGUAGUCCCAGCGACUUGAGAGGCUGAGGCAGGAGGAUCACAAGUUCAAGGUCAGUCUCAGCAACUUAGUGAGACUCUGUCUCAA